GGAGACGUGGCAGAGGGGUUUAAUGCGGCAGGCUUAUACCCUGCUGAUCGGGUCUCACCGUCCAAGGAAACACCCGGUCCGUGGGUUUGAAUCCUACCGUCUCCGCCA
rnacentral:tRNA from 1 species